UACGUAGGGGGCAAGCGUUGUCCGGAAUCAUUGGGCGUAAAGAGCGCGCAGGCGGUCGUUCAAGUCGCGUGUGAAAGCCUCCGGCUCAACUGGGGAGGGUCACGCGAUACUGAUCGACUCGAAGGCAGGAGAGGGAAGUGGAAUUCCCGGUGUAGUGGUGAAAUGCGUAGAUAUCGGGAGGAACACCAGUGGCGAAGGCGGGUCUCUGGGCCGAAAUUGACGCUGAGGAGCGAAAGCGUGGGGAGCAAACAGG
rnacentral:rRNA from 1 species